CAGUCGCCGCGGGAAUACGUAUGUCGCGAGCGUUAUCCGGAAUUAUUGGGCAUAAAGGGCAUCUAGGCGGCCGGAUAAGUCUGGGGUGAAAACUUGCGGCUCAACCGCAAGCCUGCCCUGGAAACUAUGCGGCUAGAGUACUGGAGAGGUGGACGGAACUGCACGAGUAGAGGUGAAAUUCGUAGAUAUGUGCAGGAAUGCCGAUGAUGAAGAUAGUUCACUGGACGGUAACUGACGCUGAAGUGCGAAAGCUAGGGGAGCAAACAGGAUUAGAUACCCGCGUAGCCCUGUCUCUUAUACA
rnacentral:rRNA from 1 species